UCCACGACUCCAUGCUCCAUCCCGCCAUCUUCUCCGGAGAUUGUCAAAGGCUACAUUUACUCGGUCUCCGGCUGGAUCUCCGCCACUCACAGCGUUGUCUCCGCUUCUCCGCCGUUCACAGCUUGUCUCCGCUUCUUCGCCAGUCACAACCUUGUCUCCGUCUCUCCGAUUCUCACCCUCUGACCCUCUCCAUCCCUCUGCCUCUCCGGAAACCCUAGAUAUGCCUUUGGUAGACUUUUCUGGUGUCUUUGGCCAUGAAAAUGUAACAGUCUAGCAAAAAAAAUUGAUUCUCGCAAACCAUAUGCAGUGUAUUAGCUCACCAACAAUGAUGGAAUGGUCUGAGGGACUUCAACUUGCCAAUUCUAUUGGCUACUAGUUUCCACAUACUAUUGGUUUGCAUCUUUUAGUGUUUAUACCAUCUGCUAGUGAGGACACUAUUAAUCAGUAAGUUCUCUUUACAAAAACUUGUCAUCAUUUCUUUAUUUGCCUUUUGACAGGUGAAUUUUUUGAAUUGGAACAACAUUUGGAAUUUGUAAAUUGGCAUGUCUCCCUCUCCCACCUUAUUUUCGCUAUUGUGCUACAAUCCCACUUAUUCCUUUUUCAUGUGUUGCUGUAUUAUAGUAACUUUGCUCAUGGGAUCCUUGCUGCAAGAGGCCAACUGCUGUGGAGGUUCUUCAUCAUCCUUUCUUUCAGAGUUGCUUCUAUGUUCCACCAUCUCUGCAGUCUAGUGUAGCCCUCGCAAGAACCACCCAAUCUGGGCACAAUAAUAUUGGGUUCAUUUCAAUAAGAACAAUAGAUGUUGCAUUGGAGAUUUGGAGCAAAAGGGCAAUAGGUGGUCCAUUGGGACCAUCUCCAAUCCAAAGUCCAUGAGUAAAACAUCAUCUUUCAAGUCACAUGCAUCCUUGAAUGCAGGCACAGGUGAAAGUGCUAUGUGUUGAGAAGGACAAUAUUGAGAAGGGCAUAGUGGACUUCAUCUCCGAGCAUCGUAUCAAGAAGCUUGUUAUGGGAGCAGCUGCUUGCAGACACUACUCAAGGUCAAGUCCAAGAAAGCUAUGUAUGUGUGUGAACAAGCACCUCCAUUCUGUUAGAUCUGGUUUAUAUGCAAAGGGGAUCAUAUUUAUACAAGGUUGACGCCAAAUGAGAGAAUGAGGUGAAGAUUGCAUUUACAAGCAGUAACACCACAGGGGUUAAAAUCAUGACUGCAGCUCAGCUUGUCAAGCUGCUAAGUGGACUCUUUUCGGUUGCUUUUGGACAAAUGGUCAAAUUUGUAGUGCAACAUCUCUGUCUCAUAUUGCAGGAAAGCAUUGCUGCAGAAUUUUUGGAAAUGAAACAAAACUGGGCAUGAGUAGAGGCCUACCUGAACGCAAAGGGCGCACUACUUUUAUCUUGUUUGCUACUCUAUUGAGGAUUUAAAGGGCCUAGCAGAAGAUUUGAAAAACAUUAAUGUUUUUUGUUUUACUGGGUUACUUUCCGACCACUUUUGGUGGUCGGAAUUUUUUUA